GAAACAGUGGCUAAGACUGGUAGGAAGAUAAAAGGCAUCUUUUAUCUUUUAAAAGACCUAGUAAUAGGUAUGCUUUAGGAGGGGCUUGCGCCAUAUUAGUUAGUUGGUAGGGUAAUGGCCUACCAAGACGAUGAUGUGUAGCUGGACUGAGAGGUUGAACAGCCACAUUGGGACUGAGACACGGCCCAAACUCCUACGGGAGGCAGCAGUAGGGAAUUUUCGGCAAUGGAGGAAACUCUGACCGAGCAACGCCGCGUGAAUGACGAAGUACUUCGGUAUGUAAAGUUCUUUUAUCAAGGAAGAAAAGCAAAUGGCGAACCAUUUGUUUGCCGGUACUUGAUGAAUAAGCCCCGGCUAAUUAUGUGCCAGCAGCCGCGGUAAGACAUAAGGGGCAAGUGUUAUCCGGAAUUAUUGGGCGUAAAGGGUGCGUAGGCGGUCUAGUAAGUCAGUGGUGUAAUGGCAACGCUUAACGUUGUCCGGCUAUUGAAACUGCUAAACUUGAGUUAGAUAGAGGCGAGUGGAAUUCCAUGUGUAGCGGUAAAAUGCGUAAAUAUAUGGAGGAACACCAGAGGCGUAGGCGGCUCGCUGGGUCUUAACUGACGCUGAGGCACGAAAGCGUGGGGAGCAAACAGGAUUAGAUACCCUGGUAGUCCACGCCGUAAACGAUGAGUACUAAGUGUCGGGUUAAACCGGUACUGAAGUUAACACAUUAAGUACUCCGCCUGAGUAGUACGUACGCAAGUAUGAAACUUAAAGGAAUUGACGGGACUCCGCACAAGCGGUGGAUCAUGUUGUUUAAUUCGAAGAUACCCGAAAAACCUUACCAGGUCUUGACAUGUUUUUGCAAAAUGAUAGUAAUAUCGUGGAGGUUACCAGAAACACAGGUGGUGCAUGGUUGUCGUCAGCUCGUGUCGUGAGAUGUUAGGUUAAGUCCUAAAACGAGCGAAACCCUUAUCGUUAGUUGCCAGCACGUUAUGGUGGGGACUUUAACGAGACUGCCAAUGAUAAAUUGGAGGAAGGUGAGGAUCACGUCAAAUCAGCAUGCCCCUUAUGACCUGGGCUACAAACGUGAUACAAUGGCUGUUACAAAGGGUAGCUGAAACGCAAGUUCUUGGCCAAUCCCCAAAAACAGUCCCAGUCCGGAUUGAAGUCUGCAACUCGACUUCAUGAAGUUGGAAUCGCUAGUAAUCGCGAAUCAGCAUGUCGCGGUGAAUACGUUCUCGGGGUUUGUACACACCGCCCGUCA
rnacentral:rRNA from 1 species